AGUGAACGCUGGCGGUAGGCCUAACACAUGCAAGUCGAACGGCAGCACAGUAAGAGCUUGCUCUUACGGGUGGCGAGUGGCGGACGGGUGAGGAAUACAUCGGAAUCUACUCUUUCGUGGGGGAUAACGUAGGGAAAACUACGCUAAUACCGCAUACGACCUACGGGUGAAAGCAGGGGCUCUUCGGACCUUGCGCGAUUGAAUGAGCCGAUGUCGGAUUAGCUAGUUGGCGGCGUAGAGACCCACCAAGGCGACGAACCGUAGCUGGUCUGAGAGGAAGAUUCGGCACACUGUCACUGAGGCACGGCCCAGACUCCUACGCGAGGCAGCAGUGGGGAAUAUUGCGCAAUGGGCGCGAGGCUGAUCCAGCCAUACCGCGUGGGUGCAGAAGGCGCUCGGGUUGGAAAGUCCUUUUGUUGGGAAAGAAAAGCAGCAGGUUAAUACCCCGCUGUUCUGACGGUACCCAAAGAAUAAGCACCGGCUAACUUCGUG
rnacentral:rRNA from 1 species